rnacentral:rRNA from 1 species
AUGCCUGCAAACAAGACUUCUCUAGCGAAUCAGAAGGACGGUCGUAACAUCUCUGUUGACAUGUACCCGUUCAUACGCAAGUACGAGGACGGCAGCAUCGAGCGUUUCCUACGCAGUCCAUUCGUGGUGGCGUCGCCGGAUCAGGGCGGCAACCGCGGGGUGGCCACGAAGGACGUCGUCGUCGACAAGGCCACCGGCGUGUCUGUUCGGCUGUUCCUCCCGUCGCGUGCCGCCGACACCGCAGGCAGGAACCGGCUUCCCCUCGUCAUCUACGUCCAUGGCGGCUCGUUCUGCACGGAGAGCGCUUUCGGCCGGACGUACCACCGCUACGCGACCUCCCUCGCCGCCAGCGCCGGAGCCCUCGUCGUGUCGGUGGAGUACCGUCUAGCGCCGGAGUUCCCCAUACCUGCGGCUUACGACGACGCGUGGGCCGCGCUCCAGUGGGCGGCGUCCUUGUCCGACCCGUGGCUGGCCAGCUACGCCGACACUGCACGCACGUUCCUGGCCGGCGACAGCGCCGGCGGCAACAUCGUUUACCAGACCGCAGUCCGCGCCAGCCACGAAGUCAACGACGACAUGAUGAACAUUGCGGGCCUGAUCAUGGUGCACCCUUACUUCUGGGGAGCCAAGCGGCUGCCCUCGGAGCUCGCGUGGGCGGACGACAGCGAGGGUGUCGCGGCGGUGUUCCCACCGUACGGGGUGGACCGGCUGUGGCCAUUCGUCACGGCCGGCCAGGCCGGCAACGACGACCCCUGA